rnacentral:rRNA from 1 species
GAUGAACGCUGACAGAAUGCUUAACACAUGCAAGUCUAUGAGAAGAUCUACUUCGGUAGAAGGUUAUCAUGGCGGACGGGUGAGUAACGCGUAAAGAACUUGCCUCUUAGACUGGGAUAACAGAUGGAAACGUCUGAUAAGACUAGAUAUAAUAAUGACAUGGCAUCAUGUUGUUAUGAAAGGUAACACUAAGAGAGAGCUUUGCGUCCUAUUAGUUAGUUGGUGAGGUAAUGGCUCACCAAGACGAUGAUAGGUAGCCGGCCUGAGAGGGUGAACGGCCACAAGGGGACUGAGAUACGGCCCUUACUCUUACGGGAGGCAGCAGUGGGGAAUAUUGGACAAUGGAGGAAACUCUGAUCCAGCAAUUCUGUGUGCACGAUGAAGGUUUUCGGAUCGUAAAGUGCUUUCAGUAGGGAAGAAGAAAGUGACGGUACCUACAGAAGAAGCGACGGCUAAAUACGUGCCAGCAGCCGCGGUAAAACGU